CUUUUGCGUGAGGGAUGGAAGUGGCAUCCUUUUAUGAAAUGCAAUGGAAUAAAAGAUAUAGCGUACAGCCCGACCGAAC
rnacentral:sRNA from 1 species